GACGAACGCUGGCGGCGUGCUUAACACAUGCAAGUCGAACGGAAAGGCCCUGCUUUUGUGGGGUGCUCGAGUGGCGAACGGGUGAGUAACACGUGAGUAACCUGCCCUUGACUUUGGGAUAACUUCAGGAAACUGGGGCUAAUACCGGAUAGGAGCUCCUGCUGCAUGGUGGGGGUUGGAAAGUUUCGGCGGUUGGGGAUGGACUCGCGGCUUAUCAGCUUGUUUGUGUGGUAGUGGCUUACCAAGGCUUUGACGGGUAGCCGGCCUGAGAGGGGGACCGGCCACAUUGGGACUGAGAGACGGACCAGACUCCUACGGGAGGCAGCAGGGGGGAAUAUUGCACAAUGGGCGGGAGCCUGAUGCGGCAACGCCGCGUGCGGGAUGACGGCCUUCGGGUUAUAAACCGCUUUCGCCUGUGACGAAGCGGGAGUGACGGUAAUGGGUAAAGAAGCACCGGCUAACUACGUG
rnacentral:rRNA from 1 species